GCCUUAUUAUCUCAGGGGCAGAGCAGCAGUCUCGUAAACUGAAGGUCGUAUAAGUUCGAAUCCAGUCUCAUGAGGCU